rnacentral:lncRNA from 13 species
CCGGUAGCCUUCGUCGGAGAGAUAACCUAGUCUGGACUGUGCUCACGGAUUUCACAAUGAACUGACAUAAAACAAAGAGAAGAAGUGAAGCGCUUUGUGUCAGGGGUGAGGGGUCAGGGGAUGAGGAGGCGGCGCGGGGGAACGAGGACGGAGAGGAGAGGGGUUCCGUGUUCGGAAUGACUCAUUAUGACUUUGAAAAGCGUGGAGGAAAACUCUGGAGAGAACUGAUGCGACACCUUAAAAAUGUGUGUGUGUAUUGCACAUUACAUGUAAGGUGUUUGCAAACACAUUCAUCAAAGAAACAGAGCGGACAGGAGAAAAGGCAAUAUCAAAAGCCAUUCCAAAGACAACGGGGAGUUCAGGCGCUACUGUGUCCUCUCACCUCCAAAGCUGAGACCAUGGACGGCUGAGGGCUGGGACCGUUGCUGUGGUGGUGGGACUCCAGGGCUGCAGCUAGAGCCGGGGGUCCGGAGGGGCCGUCUGGGAUCUGGUGGCUAGCCGCCUCCUGGCUCUCCUGUCACAGCCAGGGGGAGAGGAGCAGAGGUCAGUGCAUUACAUUAGGGCCUAGGGAGUUUUUCCUGCUCCUAGGGAGUUUUUCUUGAUCACUUGAUUUGGAAUGGCCCAGAGUUUUCCCACAUUGGAUGCACAUUGAAUGUGUUUUUAAGUUUUCAUGUGAGAGGUAUGUAAAAGGUACAUAUAUAAAAUAUGAGAAGGAUGACACUGGACAUUAAAUCAUUGAGUGAGAAAAAUAUAUACGUGCUUGUUAAUUGAAAAGGUAUGAGGACAAUAAGUGCAUAGUAUAGAUGCACAUAUGUCGUGUUGAAGUGUACUUACGAUCAUAGAAUAUCUUUGAGAAUCAGAGUACUAUAUCUAUGACUACAGUCGGAGACACAGUAGCCGCUUACCCACUAUCGUUCUAUUUCCGUUCGAGCCACUGUGGGCUAGCGUCAGAGAAGCUUGAAAACCGAGAAACUCAACACGCCAGUGAAUAAGAGUGUGCCACUCUUCCAUUGACUUCAGUCGGA